rnacentral:rRNA from 1 species
GACGAACGCUGGCGGCGUGCUUAACACAUGCAAGUCGAGCGGGGAUACAAGGGAGCUUGCUCCUGAGUAUUCUAGCGGCGGACGGGUGAGUAACGCGUGAGCAACCUUUCUCUCAGUGGGGAAUAACACAGGGAAACUUGUACUAAUACCGCAUGAGACCACAGAGCCGCAUGGCUUAGGGGUCAAAGAUUUAUUGCUGAGAGGUGGGCUCGCGUCCGAUUAGGUAGUUGGUGAGGUAACGGCCCACCAAGCCGACGAUCGGUAGCCGACCUGAGAGGGUGAUCGGCCACAUUGGGACUGAGACACGGCCCAAACUCCUACGGGAGGCAGCAGUGGGGAAUAUUGCACAAUGGGCGAAAGCCUGAUGCAGCGACGCCGCGUGAGCGAAGAAGUAUUUCGGUAUGUAAAGCUCUAUCAGCAGGGAAGAAAAUGACGGUACCUGACUAAGAAGCACCGGCUAAAUACGUG